CCCGCCCUCAUCCUGCCUCACAGUCGAGCUCCGCCCGCUUCCGCCUGAUUCCGGGCCCGGCCUUCUCCAGGCCGCCGGCUGGGGCCCUCCCAGGGCUGCUGGCCGAGAAUCUUAGGUAGUGGCGGCUUCGCCCUCAGCUAGGGCGAGCGAGCCCGGCAGAGGGGCAGGGCAGCCUGGGACCCUUCUAAUCUGCUCUGCCUCUUCCUGCUGUUGGGGACCUGCGGAAGCUGCCUUACCAUUUCACCUGAGGAACGUGGAGGUGCAGCUGAGCCCUGCAAUCUGAGCCACCACUGACUUGCAUAACGGCAGCCCUCCCUGCCUUCUCCCUGAACCAGGUUGAAUGGAGCAGAGCCUCAAGCUGGACAUGCUGCUGCCCCAUCCAGUGUGCACCCCUCCUGCCCUGGCUGCCCUCUUCCAGCAUCCACAGGAGUCCUGCAUGUGCAGAAACAGCGAGAAGACAGCCGUCUGUGAACCAGGAAGUGGGCCCUCACCAGACGCUGAAUCUGCUUGUGCCUUGAUCUUGGACUUCCCUGACUCCUGAAUUGUAAGAAUUAAAUUUCUGUUUAUAAGCCUCGCAGUCUACGGUAGCCCGAAUGCGCUGAGACCACCACCUCCCCACGCCACUGGGUCUCCCUGUCCUGGGCCACCUCUUCCCCACAUCCUAGGUCCUGGGCUUUUCCUAACAGUGAAUUGCAUACUUUUAGCAUCUUCUGCAGUCUGGAUAGACUGAGAAUUUCCCAAAUCAUCAAAUUACUACAAAAAAUUACCAUAAACCUUUUGGGUUAAAACAACACAUUCCAAAGACCAGAAGUCCAAAAUCAGAAGUUCACUGUGGAAAUCAAAUCUCCGGGGGCACCAGGGGACUGUUCCUUACCCCUUCCAGAUCCUGGUGGCUGCCGGCACUCAUGAGCUUGUGGCCCCUUCACUCUAAUGCCUGCCUGUCUUCACCUGGCCCUCUCCUCUGUGUGUGGAGUCUCUCUCUGCCUCCCUCUUAUAAGCACCCUCGUGAUGACAUUUAGGGCCCACUCGGAUAAUCUGGGAUGAUCUCAUGUCAAAACCCCAAUUUAUUUAAAAGGCAAAAAAGGAAGGAAAGAUGGAAAGGAGAAGGAAAAAGCCAAUCGUCAGGUUAGA